rnacentral:rRNA from 1 species
UACGUAGGGGGCAAGCGUUGUCCGGAUUUAUUGGGCGUAAAGCGCGUGUAGGCGGCUUUGCAAGUCCGUUGUGAAAACUCGAGGCUCAACCUCGAGACGCCGGUGGAAACUGCAAAGCUAGAGUCCGGAAGAGGAGAGUGGAAUUCCUGGUGUAGCGGUGAAAUGCGCAGAUAUCAGGAAGAACACCAAUGGCGAAAGCAGCUCUCUGGGACGGUACUGACGCCGAGACGCGAAAGCGUGGGGAGCAAACAGG